rnacentral:rRNA from 1 species
UACGUAGGGUCCAAGCGUUGUCCGGAAUUACUGGGCGUAAAGAGCUCGUAGGUGGUUUGUCGCGUUGUUCGUGAAAACUCACAGCUCAACUGUGGGCGUGCGGGCGAUACGGGCAGACUGGAGUACUGCAGGGGAGACUGGAAUUCCUGGUGUAGCGGUGGAAUGCGCAGAUAUCGGGAGGAACACCUGUGGCGAAGGCGGCCCCCUGGUUGGAUACUGACGCUGAUACGCGAAAGCGUGGGGAGCAAACAGG